UGGGGAAUUUUGGACAAUGGGCGAAAGCCUGAUCCAGCAAUGACGCGUGUGUGAAGAAGGCCUUCGGGUUGUAAAGCACUUUUGUCCGGAAAGAAAUCCUUGGCUCUAAUACAGUCGGGGGAUGACGGUACCGGAAGAAUAAGCACCGGCUAACUACGUGCCAGCAGCCGCGGUAAUACGUAGGGUGCAAGCGUUAAUCGGAAUUACUGGGCGUAAAGCGUGCGCAGGCGGUUUGCUAAGACCGAUGUGAAAUCCCCGGGCUCAACCUGGGAACUGCAUUGGUGACUGGCAGGCUAGAGUAUGGCAGAGGGGGGUAGAAUCCCACGUGUAGCAGUGAAAUGCGUAGAGAUGUGGAGGAAUACCGAUGGCGAAGGCAGCCCCCUGGGCCAAUACUGACGCUCAUGCACGAAAGCGUGGGGAGCAAACAGGAUUAGAUACCCUGGUAGUCCACGCCCUAAACGAUGUCAACUAGUUGUUGGGGAUUCAUUUCCUUAGUAACGUAGCUAACGCGUGAAGUUGACCGCCUGGGGAGUACGGUCGCAAGAUUAAAACUCAAAGGAAUUGACGGGGUCAUAGCUGUUUCCU
rnacentral:rRNA from 1 species